AAAGAGUUUGGAGAAGAAGGUUGACGAGUUAGUUUGUAGUUAUUUCAUCCGAGUCAAUUAUCACUAUCAGGUACAACACUUUGUGUACAGUUAUACUUGUGACAUUAGUUUGUAGUUUGUAGCAUUAUAUUUGUGACACCCAUAUCUGAGAAGUCUGUAUAUCUUUUAUUCUUCCAUUAGAAGGGAAGCCAGAAAUGACAUUUUGUAUUGAGCUGGAAAUGUUGAAGCCUGG
rnacentral:misc_RNA from 1 species